rnacentral:rRNA from 1 species
UACGAAGGGGGCUAGCGUUGCUCGGAAUCACUGGGCGUAAAGCGCACGUAGGCGGCUUUUUAAGUCAGGGGUGAAAUCCUGGAGCUCAACUCCAGAACUGCCUUUGAUACUGAGAAGCUUGAGUCCGGGAGAGGUGAGUGGAACUGCGAGUGUAGAGGUGAAAUUCGUAGAUAUUCGCAAGAACACCAGUGGCGAAGGCGGCUCACUGGCCCGGUACUGACGCUGAGGCACGAAAGCGUGGGGAGCAAGCAGG